CACUCCCUACGGGGGGCAGCAGUGGGGGAUAUUGCACAAUGGGGGAAACCCUGAUGCAGCGACGCCGCGUGAGUGAAGAAGUAUUUCGGUACGUAAAGCUCUAUCAGCAGGGAAGAAAAAUGACGGUACCUGACUAAGAAGCCCCGGCUAACUACGUGCCAGCAGCCGCGGUAAUACGUAGGGGGCAAGCGUUAUCCGGAUUUACUGGGUGUAAAGGGAGCGUAGACGGCAUGGCAAGUCUGAUGUGAAAACCCGGGGCUCAACCCCGGGACUGCAUUGGAAACUGUCAGGCUAGAGUGUCGGAG
rnacentral:rRNA from 1 species